UACGGAAGGUCCGGGCGUUAUCCGGAUUUAUUGGGCGUAAAGGGAACGCAGGCGGUCUUUUAAGUCUGAUGUGAAAGCCUUCGGCUUAACCGGAGUAGUGCAUUGGAAACUGGGAGACUUGAGUGCAGAAGAGGAGAGUGGAACUCCAUGUGUAGCGGUGAAAUGCGUAGAUAUAUGGAAGAACACCAGUGGCGAAAGCGGCUCUCUGGUCUGUAACUGACGCUGAGGCUCGAAAGCAUGGGUAGCGAACAGG
rnacentral:rRNA from 1 species